rnacentral:siRNA from 1 species
CCUAACGAUUCUGCUCAUUCUCCU